UGUGGGAUGGUGUAGUGGUAAACAUUCGAGUCUCAUAAUCUCGAGAGCGCAGGUUCGAGUCCUGCUCCCGCAA
rnacentral:tRNA from 1 species